AUUGAACGCUGGCGGCAUGCCUAACACAUGCAAGUCGAACGAGCGGCGGACGGGUGAGUAAUGUCUGGGAAACUGCCUGCUGGGGGGGGAUAAGUGCUGGAAACGGUAGCUAAUACCGCACACCAUCAGAUGUGCCCAGAUGGGAUUAGCUGGUGGGUGGGGUAAUGGCUCACCUAGGCGACGAUCCCUAGCUGGUCUGAGAGGAUGACCAGCCACACUGGGACUGAGACACGGCCCAGACUCCUACGGGAGGCAGCAGUGGGGAAUAUUGGACAAUGGGCGAAAGCCUGAUACAGCCAUGCCGCGUGUGUGAAGAAGGCCUUCGGGUUGUAAAGCACUUUCGGCAGGGAGGCGGUACCUGCAGAAGAAGCACCGGCUAACUCCGUGCCAGCAGCCGCGGUAAUUC
rnacentral:rRNA from 1 species